rnacentral:rRNA from 1 species
ACGCUCGACACCUUGGGAGGCAGCAGUGGGGAAUAUUGCACAAUGGGGGAAACCCUGAUGCAGCGACGCCGCGUGAAGGAUGAAGUAUUUCGGUAUGUAAACUUCUAUCAGCAGGGAAGAAAGUGACGGUACCUGACUAAGAAGCCCCGGCUAACUACGUGUCAGCAGCCGCGGUAAUCUGAGCGGGCUGGCAAGGC